GGGAGCUGCGCCGGCUGCGGAUGCUCAGCUUCCGGCUCCGGAGAGCAGGGGGCGGGCCCGGGGGGCGCUUCCGGCCCGUGGCCUUCGGGUUGCGCCUGCGCUGCCCUCGAAGAGGUCCGGGUGGCUGGCGUCGUGUCUUGCGUCUGGGAGGAAAGCUCGGAGGAUCCCCAUAGACCUGUGGCACGGCAGGAGCCGGCGGGAAACCCUGAGGAGCUUGUGGCAGCCGUGGCUAAGGUGGUAGCCGGCGUCACUGCCCCGCAGCGUGGGCGAGUUUCCUCUUAGCCCGAGCCUCAGGGAUUGACUCAGACUCCUCCGCUUUUUUAGUUGUUUUGGGUGUGAGUGAAACCCAGACUAAACCUUAGCCUGGAUUCCAAAACAGGACAGCUUUUACAGAUGACUCUCAUAUCACUGUCCCUACCCUGUGAUACUGUGUUUUUCAAAGUAUAGUGCCUGAACUAUCUGCAUGAAAUCCGCCUGAGAUGGUUGUUGAAAAUUCACAGUGGCUGGGCCUUGUUGCAGGAUGCCUCUUGAAGCCCAAGGUUUUUUGUUUCUUGGAUUUUUUUUUUUUCCAUUUGAGUAUGAAAAUAAAUAGGAAAGCAGAGAACUUGGAAAGGGACUUACAUUCCUGCAGAAUAGACGGGGGUCUUGCUAUGUUGCCCAGGCUGGAGUGCAGUGGCCAUUCACAGGCGCGAUCCCACUACUGAUCAGCACGGGAGUUUUGACCUGCUCCGUUUCGACCUGGGCCAGUUCACCCCUCCUUAGGCAACUUGAUGGUCCCUCAAUCCUGGGAGGUCACCAUAUUGAUGCUGAACUUAGUGCAGACAUCCGAUUGGCAUAGCGCACUACAGCCCAGAACUACUGGACUCCAGAGAUCCUCCAGCCUCAGCCUGGGACUACAGGCACGUGCCAUCACACCCGGUUGGGGAAGGAACAUAAACACCAGAGCUGCAGUGGGCAGCCAAGGAGUGUCAGACCACAAUCUGCAGCCAUACAGCCAGCACUCAAGGGUGAGAGGAACACAUCCUUUCAGAGCAUUGACAGCAAACACAGCUGCAACUGUGAGGAAACAUAGAGGAGCCACACAACUGAGCAAGAGUCUACCAAUUGAUCAACAAGCCUAA
rnacentral:lncRNA from 13 species